UACGGGGGGAGCAAGCGUUGUUCGGAUUUACUGGGCGUAAAGGGCGCGUAGGCGGCCAGCACAAGUCAGUUGUGAAAUCUCCGAGCUUAACUCGGAAAGGUCAACUGAUACUGUGCGGCUAGAGUGCAGAAGGGGCAACUGGAAUUCUUGGUGUAGCGGUGAAAUGCGUAGAUAUCAAGAGGAACACCUGCGGCGAAGGCGGGUUGCUGGGCUGACACUGACGCUGAAGCGCGAAAGCUAGGGGGGCGAACGGG
rnacentral:rRNA from 1 species